AACGAACGCUGGCGGCAUGCCUAACACAUGCAAGUCGAACGAACCCUUCGGGGUUAGUGGCGCACGGGUGCGUAACGCGUGGGAAUCUGCCCUUUGCUUCGGAAUAACAGUUAGAAAUGACUGCUAAUACCGGAUGAUGUCUUCGGACCAAAGAUUUAUCGGCAAAGGAUGAGCCCGCGUAGGAUUAGGUAGUUGGUGGGGUAAAGGCCUACCAAGCCGACGAUCCUUAGCUGGUCUGAGAGGAUGAUCAGCCACACUGGGACUGAGACACGGCCCAGACUCCUACGGGAGGCAGCAGUGGGGAAUAUUGGACAAUGGACGCAAGUCUGAUCCAGCAACGCCGCGUGAGUGAUGAAGGCCUUAGGGUUGUAAAGCUCUUUUACCAGGGAUGAUAAUGACAGUACCUGGAAGAUAAGCUCCGGCUAACUCCGUGCCAGCCGCCGCUGUAAUAC
rnacentral:rRNA from 1 species